rnacentral:lncRNA from 1 species
ACCCUCUCCAUCAAUAGUUGAGAACACUUACUUUUAUGAACACCUACAUAAUUUGUACAUCUAAGUACAAACCACUGCCCCCCUUCACCCCAGUGAUAUACACGCCAUUCUAAGCCAUGAUGAAGCAAAACAUUCUCCCAACAGGUAACAUAUUUUACUAGCACACUCUUGCACAUUAACUUCACUUCCCUAACUCAUUAAGAACACAUUGAGCAGAAAUUUCUCGCAAUACCAUUCGAGACUCAGGUACAUAUAUACAGAGAAGGUGCAAGCAAAAUAGAAAAGCUGCUAUGGACAGACCCAAAGAGCAAACAACUGGCCAAACAGCAAAAAGAAUAAAAGGGGAUAGAACAUAUUUAACGAGU